rnacentral:rRNA from 1 species
GAUGAACGCUGGCGGCGUGCCUAACACAUGCAAGUCGAGCGAUUCUCUUCGGAGAAGAGCGGCGGACGGGUGAGUAACGCGUGGGUAACCUGCCCUGUACACACGGAUAACAUACCGAAAGGUAUGCUAAUACGAGAUAAUAUACUUUUAUCGCAUGGUAGAAGUAUCAAAGCUUUUGCGGUACAGGAUGGACCCGNGUCUGAUUAGCUAGUUGGUAAGGUAACGGCUUACCAAGGCGACGAUCAGUAGCCGACCUGAGAGGGUGAUCGGCCACAUUGGAACUGAGACACGGUCCAAACUCCUACGGGAGGCAGCAGUGGGGAAUAUUGCACAAUGGGCGAAAGCCUGAUGCAGCAACGCCGCGUGAGCGAUGAAGGCCUUCGGGUCGUAAAGCUCUGUCCUCAAGGAAGAUAAUGACGGUACUUGAGGAGGAAGCCCGGCUAACUACGUG